UACGAGGGGGGCAAGCGUUGUUCGGAAUUAUUGGGCGUAAAGGGCGCGUAGGCGGUUUGACAAGUCUUAUGUGAAAUCUCUGGGCUCAACCCAGAGUCUGCAUGGGAAACUGUCGGGCUUGAGUAUGGGAGAGGUGAGUGGAAUUUCCGGUGUAGCGGUGAAAUGCGUAGAUAUCGGAAGGAACACCUGUGGCGUAAGCGGCUCACUGGACCAUAACUGACGCUGAGGCGCGAAAGCUAGGGGAGCAAACAGG
rnacentral:rRNA from 1 species